rnacentral:rRNA from 1 species
UACGGGGGGAGCAAGCGUUGUUCGGAUUUACUGGGCGUAAAGGGCGCGUAGGCGGCCACCGCAAGUCGGUUGUGAAAUCUCUGGGCUUAACCCAGAAAGGUCAACCGAUACUGCGGGGCUAGAGUGCAGAAGGGGCAACUGGAAUUCUCGGUGUAGAGGUGAAAUUCGUAGAUAUUCGGAAGAACACCAGUGGCGAAGGCGGCUCACUGGUCCGGUACUGACGCUGAGGUGCGAAAGCGUGGGGAGCAAACAGGG